AGAGUUUGAUCCUGGCUCAGGAUGAACGCUAGCGACAGGCUUAACACAUGCAAGUCGAGGGGCAGCGGGGGAGUAGCAAUACUCCCGCCGGCGACCGGCGCACGGGUGAGUAACACGUAUGAAACCUGCCCGUAGCAGGGGGAUAAGCGGAAGAAAUUCCGUCUAAUACCGCGUAACAACCCAUGGAGGCAUCUCCGUGGGUUUAAAGGAAGCGAUUCCGGCUACGGAUGGUCAUGCGUCGCAUUAGCUUGUUGGCGGGGUAACGGCCCACCAAGGCGACGAUGCGUAGGGGUUCUGAGAGGAAGGUCCCCCACACUGGUACUGAGACACGGACCAGACUCCUACGGGAGGCAGCAGUGAGGAAUAUUGGUCAAUGGCCGCAGGGCUGAACCAGCCAAGUCGCGUGAGGGAUGACGGUCCUAUGGAUUGUAAACCUCUUUUGUCAGGGAGCAAAGGGCGCCACGUGUGGCGUUUUGCGAGUACCUGAAGAAAAAGCAUCGGCUAACUCCGUGCCAGCAGCCGCGGU
rnacentral:rRNA from 1 species